AAAUGGGCCUUAUUAAAGGCCACCUUACUUGUACAGAAAACGCAAU
rfam:Ailuropoda melanoleuca scaffold1258_42, whole genome shotgun sequence.